UGAGGAAUAUUGGACAAUGGGUGGAAGCCUGAUCCAGCCAUCCCGCGUGUAGGACGACUGCCUUAUGGGUUGUAAACUACUUUUAUCUGGGGAUAAACCUACUCACGUGUGAGUAGCUGAAGGUACCAGAAGAAUAAGCACCGGCUAACUCCGUGCCAGCAGCCGCGGUAAUACGGAGGGUGCAAGCGUUAUCCGGAUUUAUUGGGUUUAAAGGGUCCGUAGGCGGAUUAAUCAGUCAGUGGUGAAAUCCCGCAGCUUAACUGUGGAACUGCCAUUGAUACUGUUAGUCUUGAGUGAUGUUGAAGUGGCUGGAAUGUGUAGUGUAGCGGUGAAAUGCUUAGAUAUUACGCAGAACACCAAUUGCGAAGGCAGGUCACUAAGUAUCAACUGACGCUGAUGGACGAAAGCGUGGGGAGCGAACA
rnacentral:rRNA from 1 species